rnacentral:rRNA from 1 species
UACGGGGGGGGCAAGCGUUGUUCGGAAUUACUGGGCGUAAAGGGCUCGUAGGUGGCCAACUAAGUCGGACGUGAAAUCCCUCGGCUUAACCGGGGAACUGCGUCCGAUACUGGUUGGCUUGAGUUUGGGAGAGGGAUGCGGAAUUCCAGGUGUAGCGGUGAAAUGCGUAGAGAUGUGGAGGAACACCGAUGGCGAAGGCAGCCCCCUGGGUCAACACUGACGCUCAUGCACGAAAGCGUGGGGAGCAAACAGG